rnacentral:rRNA from 1 species
UGAGGAAUAUUGCACAAUGGGCGCAAGCCUGAUGCAGCGACGCCGCGUGUGGGAUGAAGGGGCUACGCCUCGUAAACCACUGUAGCCCGGGACGAAAAACGCCUUAGAGGCGUUAGACGGUACCGGGAAAGUAAGGGUCGGCUAACUACGUGCCAGCAGCCGCGGUAAUACGUAGGACCCAAGCGUUGUCCGGAUUUACUGGGUGUAAAGGGUGCGCAGGCGGAUGGGUAAGUCAGGGGUGAAAGUCUGCAGCUUAACUGUAGAAUUGCCUUGAUACUGCUCAUCUUGAGUGUGGGAGAGGUUGAUGGAAUUCCAGGUGUCGCAGUGAAAUGCGUAGAUAUCUGGAGGAACACCGGCGGUGUAGACGGCUUGCUAGACCAUAACUGACGCUGAGGCACGAAAGCGUGGGUAGCAAACA